rnacentral:lncRNA from 1 species
GCUUGUAUCUCUAUUAUGCAAUCAUGUAGGGGACUUGUGGGGAAUGCUUUGGGUUGUCGUAUGCAAUCAUCAAAUUCAAUAACGUUAGGAAAAUCUGAAGGUUAAUUUAAGCGGACCUAAUUAACUUGGGGCGUUGAGAAUUCAUGGGUUAUUGAAAAGCAAUUGGAAAUCGUUUUGAAUGCAAGUAUAACAUGUGUGGAGAUGAACCCCUUAGCUAGCUUACCAUCCAUUCAUUUAAACCAAAUUCGUUUUAAAAUCUGUUUUGAUUUACAAGUUUAUAUUUUGUUUUCAAUUUCGUAAAAACCAAAUCCCCCUUUGUUUUCAGUGUCAAAUUAGUUAGAAAGUGUGUUAGUUUGUGUUUUUAAGUGUUUUGAGUCAAGUUAAAACCUAUUUUCGUCAAAAUCUUGUUUAGAGUUCAAAACUGCCCAGAAAGUGGUUUUAAGGCAGUUUUGAGUGUUUUUGUGUUAUUUUGAGUCUUUUGGUUUGUUUUGGUGUUUUAAGUUAUAGUUUUACAUUCUUUGAGUCUAGUUAGUGUUUUAAACUUGUUUUUACGUUUUUGAGUCAAUUCCAAGUGAUUUUGCAAUCCCUCCUAAUCCCCGGCCUAGAACGAUCCCUACUUACGUAUUUUGCUACAAUUGAUAAAAAGAGGGUUUAAUUUGUGUGCUUAUAUAUUUCGCAUCAACAAGCCAAUUAAAUCGCAUAAAUAUGCUCCUAUCAAGAGUUUAGUUUUGUAUUCUUUGAGUCUAGUUUAGUGUUUUAAACUUUGUUUUACAUAUUUGAGUCAGUUUAGAGUGUUUUAGCAAUCCCUCCUAAUCCCCGGUUU